GAUGAACGCUAGCGGGAGGCCAACACAUGCAAGCCGGGGGGUAUAUUUCUUUCGGGAGGUAGGGACCGGCGCACGGGGGGGGAACGCGUAUUCAACUUGGCCUACUGAAGAGGAAAGACCAGAAGAAUUUGGAUUAAUACUUUAUAACAGGGUUUAAUGCAUGAUAAGAAUUUGGAAGGUUUAUCGCAGUAGGGUAGGCAUGCGUAAGGUUAGUUAGUUGGUAAGGUAACGGCUUACCAAGACGAUGAUCUUUAGGGGGCCUGAGAGGGUGAUCCCCCACACUGGUACUGUGACACGGACCAGACUCCUACGGGAGGCAGCAGUGAGGAAUAUUGGACAAUGGGUGGAAGCCUGAUCCAGCCAUCCCGCGUGUAGGAUGACGGCCUUAUGGGUUGUAAACUACUUUUAUCUGGGGAUAAACCUGUCUACGUGUAGAUAGCUGAAGGUACCAGAAGAAUAAGCACCGGCUAACUCCGUGCCAGCAGCCGCCGUAA
rnacentral:rRNA from 1 species